rnacentral:rRNA from 1 species
CCUACGGGUGGCUGCAGUGGGGAAUAUUGGGCAAUGGGCGCAAGCCUGACCCAGCAACGCCGCGUGAGGGAAGAAGGCUUUCGGGUUGUAAACUUCUUUUCUCAGGGACGAAGCAAGUGACGGUCCCUGAGGAAUAAGCCACCGCUAACUACGUGCCAGCAGCCGCGGUAAUACGUAGGUGGCAAGAGUUAUCCGGAUUUACUCGGUGUAAAGGGCGUGUAGGCGGGACUGCAAGUCAGAUGUGAAAACCAUGGGCUCAACCUAUGGCGUGCAUUUGAAACUGUAGUUCUGGAGUACUGGAGAGGCAGACGGAAUUCCUAGUGUAGCGGUGAAAUGCGUAGAUAUUAGGAGGAACACCAGUGGCGAAGGCGGUCUGCUGGACAGCAACUGACGCUGAGGCGCGAAAGCGUGGGGAGCAAACAGGAUUAGAUACCCUUGUAGUC